rnacentral:lncRNA from 1 species
GGUCUGUCCAUCUCUACCUAGGGGUGUCUCACUUCCUUUAUAUUUGAGGGAUUGCUUCUCAGGACUUUGAGGUUUUCUUUCAUCAUCUUUUUCUUUUAUCCCAGUGACGUCAGGCCUCCACUUCCUUUCGAUUUAAAAAACAAAAAUCAUCCACUAAUCUUAUUGGGAAGGCCUGCACGUGCUAAGCUGAGUCUGCUGAUUCGCUCGAUGCUUUGCUUUGAUCUUCAGUGAUUUACUUAUGGUGCAUAGAGGUCCAGGUCCUGCUUAGAAAGUCAGAGAUUCUACAUGCUCUCCUUCAAUAGGACGGCAUUGGCAUCAUCUGUUCUCUCUCUCUCUCUCUCUCCCUUCUUCUGAAACACCUCUGUUAAAUGUUUCUCAGUGUACUUGGAGUCCAGUGAUGUGACUUCAUCGAUACUCCACAUGUUCAUUUUCUUUAUAUUUUUCUUCUCUGUCCCUCGGGCCUCAAGUGACCUGUUAGGAGAUUAUUGUCUGCCUGUUCACACCUCCUGAAAAGUUGAACUUUUAUUUGAGCUCAUAAACAUUUCACCACUGAAGUUUUUAGUGUGUGUGUGUGUUGAUUUUUGUACUAUUCAUGGUUUGUUUUAUUUAGUAACACAUUGUUUUCCUGCUUUCAUUUAGUUCUGUAGGAAUGUUCUUUGAUUGUAUUUUAAAUAAUUGAAAGUCUUUGUAUUGUGUAAUUUCAGGGUUUUCUUAGUCUCUUUCUAUUUAGUAACUUGCCCUGAGUAUAAGCUGGAUUUGCACAGGGAGACAUUGGUUGAUGUUUAUGAAAACUGAACAUUAUAAACAGCAGGAGGCCAAGGUCCCCUAGAGGACUCUCCACUCGAUCUUAGGACCACCUGUGAGUGGAACACAACUUCUGUUCCAAUCCAAUCACGCCGGACCUGAGACAGCAUUAGGGAAGCAGAAAACCCGGCCUGACCAGGGUCACAAGUCACUUCCAGUUGGCGCCAGCACUGGGUCACCUGGGCACAGAGUCGCUGGAUACCCCCAAGGUCCCUAGACGACAGCUUCUGAGGCAGACCCCAUUUCAGGCUCCAUACACCCGGGCACCUUCCCUGCCAGAGGAGAGGUGUCUGCCCUGCCCAGCAGGGCUUUGCCUGAGCACCUGGGGGAGCCAUCUUGGUUCCUGGAUCCCUCCAAGACUAGUCUGAGCAGGUGAGAGUGGAAUACAGAAGCUAACAGCUUCUGUGACAGGCCGAAGCAACACAGCUUCUGGGACAGGCCCUGUUUCUGGCCUUAAUCUUCUGCCAGAAGGCAGGUCCGAACUCCAGAUAUCUGUGCACCUUCCCUAUAAGAGGAGAGCUUGCCUGCAGAGAGUGUUCUGACCAAUGAAACUCAGGAGAGAUCUAGUCUCCCAGGUCUGCUGAUAGAGGCUAAUAGAGUCACCUGAGGAACAAGCUCUAACCAGAGACAUUUUUUUUAUAUGAUCAUCUCGUUAGAUGCGGAGAAAGCAUUUGACAAAAUCCAAUACCCGUCCAUGAUAAAAGUCUUGGAAAGAUCAGGAAUUCAAGGCCCAUACAUAAACAUGAUAAAAGCAAUCUAUAGCAAACCAGUAGCCAACAUCAAAGUAAAUGAUGAGAAACUGGAAGCAAUCCCACUAAAAUCAGGGACUAGACAAGGCUGCCCACUUUCUCCAUACCUAUUCAACAUAGAAUUUGAAGUCCUAGCCAGAGCAAUUCAGCAACAAAAGGAGAUCAAGGGGAUACAAAUUGGAAAGGAAGAAGUCAAAAUAUCACUUUUUGCAGAUGAUAUGAUAGUAUAUAUAAGUGACCCUAAAAAUUCCACCAGAGAACUCCUAAACCUGAUAAACAGCUUCAGUGAAGUAGCUGGAUAUAAAAUUAACUCAAACAAGUCAAUGGCCUUUCUCUACACAAAGAAUAAACAGGCUGAGAAAGAAAUUAGGGAAACAACACCCUUCACAAUAGUCACAAAUAAUAUAAAAUAUUUGUCGUGACUCUAAGGAAGUGAAAGAUCUGUAUGAUAAGAACUUCAAGUCUCUG